rnacentral:tRNA from 1 species
GGGGGAUUGGCGCAAUGGUAGCGCGUGGCUCUCCUACACUGGUCACUAAUUCGAUCGUAAGUGUAAAGCCAAGGCUGUGGGUUCGAGUCCCAUGUUCCUCG